rnacentral:rRNA from 1 species
GGAGUUAGCCGGUGCUUCUUCUGCGAGUAACGUCACAGAUGUAAGGUAUUAACUUACACCCUUUCCUCCUCGCUGAAAGUGCUUUACAACCCGAAGGCCUUCUUCACACACGCGGCAUGGCUGCAUCAGGGUUUCCCCCAUUGUGCAAUAUUCCCCACUGCUGCCUCCCGUAGGAGUCUGGGCCGUGUCUCAGUCCCAGUGUGGCUGAUCAUCCUCUCAGACCAGCUAGGGAUCGUCGCCUAGGUGAGCCUUUACCUCACCUACUAGCUAAUCCCACCUGGGCUUAUCCAUCAGCGCAAGGCCCGAAGGUCCCCUGCUUUCCCCCGUAGGGCGUAUGCGGUAUUAGCAGUCGUUUCCAACUGUUAUCCCCCACAAAUGGGCAAAUUCCCAGGCAUUACUCACCCGUCCGCCGCUCGUCAUCUUCAAAAGCAAGCUUUUGAAAUGUUACCGCUCGACUUGCAUGUGUUAGGCCUGCCGCCAGCGUUCAAUCUGAGCCAGGAUAAACUCUGA